GGUCUGCGGCCUAUCAGGUAGUAGUGGGUGUAGCGUACCUACUAGCCUACGACGGGUACGGGUUGUGAGAGCAAGAGCCCGGAGAUGGAUUCUGAGACACGAAUCUAGGCCCUACGGGGUGCAGCAGGCGCGAAAACUUUACAAUGCCGGCAACGGCGAUAAGGGGACCUCGAGUGCCAGGUUACAAAUCUGGCUGUCGUGAUGCCUAAAAAGCAUUGCAUAGCAAGGGCCGGGCAAGACCGGUGCCAGCCGCCGCGGUAACACCGGCGGCUCGAGUGGUAACCGUUAUUAUUGGGUCUAAAGGGUCUGUAGCCGGCCGGAUAAGUCUCUUGAGAAAUCCAGCAGCUCAACUGUUGGGCUUUCAGGAGAUACUGUCUGGCUCGAGGCCGGGAGAGGUGAGAGGUACUUCAGGGGUAGGGGUGAAAUCUUGUAAUCCUUGAAGGACCACCAGUGGCGAAGGCGUCUCACCAGAACGGACCUGACGGCAAGGGACGAAAGCUAGGGGCACGAACCGGAUUAGAUACCCGGGUAGUCCUAGCCGUAAACGAUACUCGCUAGGUGUCGGCCACGGUGCGACCGUUGUCGGUGCCGUAGGGAAGCCGUGAAGCGAGCCACCUGGGAAGUACGGCCGCAAGGCUGAAACUUAAAGGAAUUGGCGGGG
rnacentral:rRNA from 1 species